GGACGUAGCUCAGUGGUAGAGCUGUUGCCUUGCAUGCAGAAGGUCCCAUGUUCAAUCCCCGUGAUCUCCA